ACAUCACUCGCAGAAGAAGCACCGGCUAACUCCGUGCCAGCAGCCGCGGUAAUACGGAGGGUGCAAGCGUUAAUCGGAAAUUACUGGGCGUAAAGCGCGCGUAGGCGGCUUGAUAAGCCGGUUGUGAAAGCCCCGGGCUCAACCUGGGAACGGCAUCCGGAACUGUCAGGCUAGAGUGCAGGAGAGGAAGGUAGAAUUCCCGGUGUAGCGGUGAAAUGCGUAGAGAUCGGGAGGAAUACCAGUGGCGAAGGCGGCCUUCUGGACUGACACUGACGCUGAGGUGCGAAAGCGUGGGUAGCAAACAGGAUUAGAUACCCUGGUAGUCCACGCCGUAAACGAUGUCGACUAGCCGUUGGGGUCCUCGAGACCUUUGUGGCGCAGUUAACGCGAUAAGUCGACCGCCUGGGGAGUACGGCCGCAAGGUUAAAACUCAAAUGAAUUGACGGGGGCCCGCACAAGCGGUGGAGCAUGUGGUUUAAUUCGAUGCAACGCGAAGAACCUUACCUACUCUUGACAUCGAGCGAACUUUCCAGAGAUGGAUUGGUGCCUUCGGGAACGCUCAGACAGGUGCUGCAUGGCCGUCGUCAGCUCGUGUUGUGAAAUGUUGGGUUAAGUCCCGUAACGAGCGCAACCCUUGUCCCUAUUUGCCAGCGAUUCGGUCGGGAACUCUAGGGAGACUGCCGGUGACAAACCGGAGGAAGGUGGGGACGACGUCAGGUCAUCAUGGCCCUUACGAGUAGGGCUACACACGUGCUACAAUGGCCGGUACAAUGGGCUGCAAUCCCGCGAGGGGGAGCCAAUCUCAUAAAGCCGGUCUCAGUCCGGAUCGGAGUCUGCAACUCGACUCCGUGAAGUCGGAAUCGCUAGUAAUCGUGCAUCAGAAUGGCACGGUGAAUACGUUCCCGGGCCUUGUACACACCGCCCGUCACACCAUGGGAGUGGACUGCACCAGAAGUGGUUAGCCUAACUUCGGAGGGCGAUCACCACGGUGUGGUUCAUG
rnacentral:rRNA from 1 species